ensembl:lncRNA
CAGGCACUGAUCUAUUCUCACAGUGUAGUUCUUCUUGUCCUGUCAGAUAAGGGCAUAUUGACUGACCAUCUAAUUACACUCUCAUUAAUACUGGACCAGGAAAAAAACGAGUUCCUUACAGUGGCACCCAUAGAUCACCACAUCUACAGUGCCAGAACUUGGGCCAGAAUGGAAUAAGUGAAGUCACCUGAACCUCUUACUCUGAAGAAAGACCGGGAAAUUGUGCACAAGGCCUCCAUACUUUCCUGAAAGCAAAGAAACUUGAGUGGCUGAUUGCCAGGUGUACUGUGCCAAGAGUUACUGGGAUCUCCGACACAUUCCAGUGGGAGUAUUAACAGACCAUUUACAAGUGGGAACCUUUUUUCUUGGUCAAUGUGGUAGGAACCUGUCAGAACAUCAUGGAGAUCUAUGAAGUAACUGCAGAUUAAUGUGACUGAAAAUGAGAGAAUUUGAUCUGCUGUCUGUUGGAGAGGAAAGUUGAAAUAAUGAGACCAGAGUGCAAAGGGACCAAUAGAAAUGGAAGAAGGACUGCCAUUUGGAAGCAGUACAAAUUGAAGUGAAGAAAAUGAUUUCAUCUUUAACAGUCUCCAGGAAGAUUCCUGUGUAAGCAACCCACCUAUGUUUUCAUAUGUUCAUCAAUGAACCUGUAAAAAAAUUGUCUCAGAAAGGAAAAUCCCAAGGCUACCAGGAUCUGCAGGAAAAGAUCAAUGGCUCAACGUCUGUUGAGUGGACAGUUAGGAAUGGCUUUUCCUAGCACUCUAUACUAGGGUGCUUUUGUUCAACUUCUCCAUCAAUUACCUGCAUGGUAUGUCAUUGUCUCAGCAUCUUCUAGGGUAACACCGCAUGGAAGAGAGGUAUAAUCCGUAUUAGAAGGGAAGAAUACUGCUGUUCAGAAGUGUCUAGAUGAAUUGGAAUUAUGGGCCAGCACAGAACACCUGAAACUCAACAAACAAAAAUGCUGUAUGUUGAAUAGUAAGAACGUAUGCAAUAGCACAGGCUAGAAACUGGCUGGAGAACACCUUUGCUGAAACGUAUCUGGAUGUUCACUUGGACACAAAUGUGAAACUCUUUAAUAGUGGGUCUGGUCAAAUGCUGGAACAGGUUGCCCAGAGAGGCUGCAGAAUCUCUGUCUUUGGAGAUAUUCAAAACCUGCCUCCAAAAGAUCCUGAACACACGACUACUCUACUACAAAAUAUUCUAGGUGGCCAUGUUUUAAGCUGAACCAGAUGAUGCCCAGAGACCCCAGAAUACACUGUUUUUGCGUCAGCAAGAAACCACUACUGCAAUGAAAACUAGCUGAACUGCAUUUGUGAGAUCUAAGCCAGCAAGUCAAAGGUUCGGACAGUGUUCUGUUUUACUACAUUAGUUCUCACAGAAAUGCAUCUCUACUCAACAGUGAAUUAUCCUGAAUCUAAUAUACGUUUUGGAUCGUAUUUCGUUUAUCUGCAGUAGAGAUGCUGAGGAUACCAUAAGCACUUAUAUAUACAGAAAUGUCUGACAGUAUUUCAAACCAUGGAAGGAUUAGGAAUAAUUCCCAAAUGGGUCUGAUUUUCUGUCACAUUGUCAACUCUUCGAAGCAAUGAUGAUUGUAAAUGUUGCACAUCAGAUAUGUGGGAGGCAUCGUGCUCACUGGCCCUCGUCCUGGUGGGGGACUUCAAUCAUCCGGACAUCUGUUGGAAAGACCACAUGGCGAGCUGCAAGAGGUCCAGAAGGCUCGUGGAAUCCGUUGAUGACAACUUUCUGGUCCAGGUAGUGGACAGACCAACCAGAGGUGAAGCGUUGCUGGACCUGCUGCUCACCAAUGCAGAAGAGAUCAUCAAAGAUGUCAAUGUUGAAGGCAGCCUGGGCUGCAGCAACCAUGCCCUGGUUGAGUUCGUGAUCUUGAGGGAUGUGGGCCUGACAAAGGGUGGGGUCAGGACCCUGAACUUUGGAAGAGUGAACUUUAAGCUGUUCAAUGGAUUGUUGGCCAAGAUCCCCUAGGAUGCUGUCCUUAAAGAUAAAGAUGUUGAGGAGAGCUGGCCACUCUUCAAGGAUGCCCUCCUGAAAGCACGAGAGGUCUCCAUCCCUCUGAAUAGGAAAGUGGGCAGACGAGAUAGGAAACCGGCAUGGCUCGGCAACGACAUGCUGGGCACACUGAGGGCAAAGAAAGGAAUGAUGACAUCAACUGAACAAAAUAUGAACUGAUUGAGGGCUUGUGACUUUUAAGGAUUUAUUUCAAAGAUCACAGUUACUGAAUGCAUUUUAUUUGACAUCAGAACUGCCUGCAGUUAUAGUAAGUUCAAGGACUUUCCCAUAACCAACCUGAUUUGAACUGUUACUGCUGUUACUGCAUAUCUUUUCCAGGGAAACAGAACAAAUGGAUCACUCAGAGGUGAAUCAUAGAAUCAUCUAGUUUGGAAAAGAUCUUCAAGAUAAUCAGGUCCAAACAUCCACAUAAAGCAUCAAGUCCUGCCUUUUCCUAAAUGCCACAUCCACAUAUCUGUUAAAUACCUCCAGCUUCCAAAGUGUCAAGCAAUAUGUAGGAAAAUCACAGCAGAAAAGGGGAAACACUGAUGGUUGAUUAAGUCAUCUGUAGAGUAAAUCAUAUAUGCUACAAAUAAUGUCUUACCUAUGGUGGGUAAGACAUGAAAAAUCAUAAACCAAAGAAAAAAUAAGAAUAAUUUCUAAAUAAUGGGAAGUCCAUGUGUGCUGCAGAUGAGUUUUGUAUUAAAAAGAUUCAAGAUCCUUUUCAUUUGAAUGACCUUUUUCU